UACAGAGGUCUCAAGCGUUGUUCGGAUUCAUUGGGCGUAAAGGGUGCGUAGGUGGCGCGAUAAGUCGGGUGUGAAAUCUCGGAGCUUAACUCCGAAAUUGCAUUCGAUACUGCCGUGCUUGAGGACUGGAGAGGAGACUGGAAUUUACGGUGUAGCGGUGAAAUGCGUAGAUAUCGUAAGGAAGACCAGUGGCGAAGGCGGGUCUCUGGACAGUUCCUGACGCUGAGGCACGAAGGCCAGGGGAGCAAACGGG
rnacentral:rRNA from 1 species